rfam:Desulfosporosinus orientis DSM 765, complete genome.
UAACCUGUAUCGAGAGAUGCGAUUGGGGCGGCAGAAGUCAACAGAGGACAUAGUUGCUUUUGGGUAGCUAACGAAAGUGAGGGUC